GGAAUAGCUCUGUGGUAGAGUAUGUGUUUAACAUGCACAAGGUUCUGGGUUCAAUCCCCAGUGAAUCCA
rnacentral:tRNA from 1 species